GAGCUGUCCUUAGUACGAGAGGACCGGGAUGGACAUACCUCUGGUGUACCAGUUGUCGUGCCAACGGCAUAGCUGGGUAGCUAUGUAUGGACGGGAUAAGUGCUGAAAGCAUCUAAGCAUGAAGCCCCCCUCAAGAUGAGAUUUCCCAACUUCGGUUAUAAGAUCCCUCGAAGAUGACGAGGUUAAUAGGUUCGAGGUGGAAGCGUGGUGACACGUGGAGCUGACGAAUACUAAUCGAUCGAAGACUUAAUCAAUUUUUAAA
rnacentral:rRNA from 1 species